GGGACGAACGCUGGCGGCGUGCUUAACACAUGCAAGUCGAGCGGUAAGGCCCUUUCGGGGGUACACGAGCGGCGAACGGGUGAGUAACACGUGGGUGACCUGCCCCCUACUCUGGGAUAAGCCUGGGAAACUGGGUCUAAAUACCGGAUAUGACUCAAGGCUGCAUGGUUUUGGGUGGAAAGCUUUUGUGGUGGGGGAUGGGCCCGCGGCCUAUCAGCUUGUUGGUGGGGUGAUGGCCUACCAAGGCUUCGACGGGUA
rnacentral:rRNA from 1 species